UUUCGUUGACACUCUCACUAACGCAAUUGCGGUGUCCGUAUUUAAUAAUAACAUAAUAUACAUACACUAAUGCAAACAAGUUCUUUAUUCUCUGGACUUGAGUAUUUUCCGGAUUCUCCCUCUGUAUCCUUAUUCGACGCUCACCGGCUCACGACGCGGAUUAUCAUGUAUUAUGCUUGUAUACUAUAUAAUGCACUAUUUUAUUUUUUCUCAUUUGUGUUAUAUGCAAUUAUAUAUUAUUUAAAAAAGUUCUAAAAAAGAGACAACAGUUGGACAGAGGUUAAACCAAGCUAACGAAUGGAUCAAUCGAAUGGACAAUAGCUGCAAAUUAAAUCGCCAUCUGUUCAGUGCUGGCACUGACACUGGCACUGACAACUUUUCAUUUAAAAAUUUAACUACCAAUUAUUGGAUUGCGGAUAUUCUUGUUGAGCAGGUUACAUUUGGAGGAAUUCGCCAGCUAUCAGUAACACCUAUAAAUUUGUACCAGCUUAAUAUACAUUAAAAUUUGAUUAUACACCAGCAGUAUAUACUGACAAUUUUGUUGAAAUAAGUAUUAAGAGCAUUUAAUACUUAUUAAUAUAAGUAAGUAUUUAGAAGUUUCUGUAAUACAAGAAGGACAAAACUAUAUGUUUUAUGUAUUUCAAGAAACUGAGGAUUUUCGUGAGUAAAAUUCAUGUUACUACUAAAAAAAACUUUUUCUUUGCUUAUGUUAAAUUCAAUUCUUGUAAAACUACAAUCAGUUUAAUGUAGAUUUUCAGUAUUCGUUUAAUUUGACUAGCUGCAGUUGGUGAUAUUAAGACUUUUAUAUAAUUUAUUUAAGAUGACACUUUACGUGCACUGAUUUUUCAAAAUGAUAUUGUUACUUAUAUUAAAAUUGUCAUUGUUACGACUUCAUUUUUGUUUAAUUACAGGAAUAAGUGUGGCAGUGAUUACCAUCCUCUGAAAUAAAAAUUUAUCCCCCAGAAAUUAAUUAAAUAAAGUAAAUUUAUACACAAUUUCAGAAAUUGCAGGAACAUUCCAUUAUGUAGAAGCUGUUUAUGAAAAUUUUAUUUUCACAAAGAAAAGUAAAUUUUUUACCCAGACAAAAUGUUCUGCCACGCUCAAAAACUCUGGCCAUUAGCGUUGAUGCCCAAAGGCAGCUGGGAUUUCUGCCUUUAUCCGAAAUUCCAACAACACCAAAGUCGAAGACCAAUCAGCACCAACAGACUGUACUCAUUAUAAAGUCAACUGGUAUUCAGCAUCAACAUGGACUACCUGGUAGACCGACGACUCCUAUAUCUCAACCAACCACUCCUAACCGUAUUCAUCAAAGGAAGCACCCAAUCGGACAAUUACUUACACCACGUUCAGGCCGACCACAUAUUAAAUUUUUAAGUGGAGCUGGACAAGUUAUGGUUCAAUCAAAGGAGGGUCCAGAGAUUUUAAAACUUUCGAAAGAGAAUUUUCAAAUGAUAGAGAGUAGAUUUGCGAGCUUAAAUCAAAAAUUGGACCAGGCGGUAGUGCGUUUUGACGCAUUAGAAGCUAAUAUGAACUCUUUGAAAUUUUCUACUGGUGCUUAGUUCGAUAAACCAUCCACAAGUAUGAUGAAUCAACACCUCAGCAACGCGAGCCAAUGAGAAAUUAUUUACUUUUUUAUAAUAUGCACAAUAACGUCAAAUCUAACAUGCGGAGCAUUCUGCAGUACGAAAGAUUAAUGACUGAUGAAUUAUUGACUGAUGUUAUUUGGAAAGGAAAAAAGGGCCAAAAGACUUCAAAACUCACUCUAGUUAAGAAAUGCAUCACUCAUGACUUAAGCACCGUUAUGAAGCAAAUGUACCCGAGCACGACCUUUUCUGAAUUCAAAGGAGCUGUUCUAACAGCGUUGAACGCUGUUAAUGCUAGAGUUUACGCAAAAAAAAAAAAAUAAGCUCCAAGCGGACGAGAAAAAAUGAUAAGGGUGCCAAGGCUGUCAAGUCAAAAAAAAAUCAAGAUGUCAGAUGAAGAUUUUUUUCAAAAUGAGUGGAAUCCUAAAAAUGUCAACAGUGAUGAUGAGGAGACUUCAGGUGAGGAUGAAAAUGAGGAUGGGGAUGAUGUUAGCGGUGACGAUGAAAACACUGGUGAUAAGAACGAGGCUCAAGGUCAUCAAGACGGCCAUGCCAGUCCACAAAUCGCAAACCCAGCUAUAUGAUUUUAAUCUAAUGUAUUAAGGAUUUUUUUUAUUUUUAAAAA